AUUCACCCUCGGGCUUCUCAGUGGGCAGGGUGGAAACACAGCUUCCUUAGAUGAUGGUCUCAGCCUCCUCCUCCCCCCGCCCCAGCCACCCUGCAGCCGGUUCUCAAGAUGGCAAGUGGGGGGUGGAUGAAGGUGGUGGCAAAGCGAGAAAGCGCCUGGAAUAACACGACAUUUUGAAAUGUGAAUCACUGGCACUUUCUGUUUUCUCCUGUUCCCCCUCUGCACCCUCCCAUUCCCGCCCCCCCCCCCCCCCCGCCGACCAGGCACUCUCUGAGCUGUAGGAACGCUAGGCCUGGACAUCCACCCAGCGUGUGGAACCAGCUGGGGAAGCCACCUGCGUGCAAGAGUGGGUGGAGUCUGAGAUGAGAGCAGAGACUGGGGCUCUGGGCCUACUGCUGUCCCUUCUUGCUGUGUGACUUUGGGCAAGGCACUGUACCUCUCUGGACCUCAGCACUGGGAUGCUCACCAUAAGGCUUGUCAAUACCCUUGGGCUGCCACAUGGUGGGGGUGGGGGCCCUGCAGGACCUAGUCUAUCCUGAAUCCCUCUUCUGCCCUCCUGUCCUGACAUUCCAUCGCUCGUGUUCCGGUCUUUUGAACCCUGAGUAACAGGAGCCCAGGACGGUGCUGGUGGGAGGGUGCUGGGAAAGGGGGAAGCUGGGGAGGGGGCAGUUAGGGCUGCCAAGUGGAACAGGGGCCACUCAGCCGCUGAAUGAGUGUCUGGACUCCCACCCCCAGACACUUCCUCCACAUUCCCUCAACUCAGGAGCUAAUGAUUCAAAAACAGAGGUCAGCUCCUGGCUCCAUGUUGACAUGCAGGUACAGGGCAGAGCAAGCCAAUGGUACCCUGGACCUCAGGGGGCUUGUGCCCUCUGUGGUGUGAAAGGUCACUGGGCAUUUCUUAAGUGCCUCCAGCGCCAGGGCUUCUCCUCAGGCACCAAGGAGUGAGUUGGCUCUGUGUGUGUUUGUGUCCCCAUCCCCAGAUCAGGCCUGACUCACCCCGUGUCCCCACAGUCCAACACAGUGCUGGGUGCACAGCAGGGGCCCCAGGGACAUCCCUGCAUGGAAUUUGUGCUGCCUGGCCAGGACCUCGUCAGCCUCAGCAGGCAGGAGCCUUGGUCCCAAGAGGAUUGCCUUUGGGCAAGGCUUUUUUUCAGGCCCUCAGUGACCACAUUUCUAAAAUUGUGGUAGUGGCCAGUUUCAUAGGCUGAGGAGCUCUUUCUGCUCUCCCUCGCCACAGGGUCCCUCUGCCUCAGCAGGAGAGCAGGCCAGAGUGCAGAGUCUGAGUGUGAGGCAGAUGUGCAUACGCAGGAACUCAGACAGGGCUGGCACAUGGCAGCUGCUCAGUUAUCGUCUAUGAGGGGAAGAAAGGAGGAGGAGGGAAGAGGCAGAAAGAGGGUGAGGCUGGUGUGUGCAGCCCCAUCAGCUGGCUCUGUGCUCAUCUGAUCCCUCUUGAUCCCCCAGCUGGCUCCUGCCCACCCUCCUCUACUUCCUCCUGUGGCCUUUUCCCCUCCUCCUGAGAAGAAGGUGAUAUUGGAGGAAAUGGUGGGGAGGGCACUGGAGAAAGCUCCCUAGGAAGUGGAGCUCUGUUCUAGAGACUAGGGAAAUUAGGCCGUAAGUCUCCAGACCUCCCCUUCUGAGGAGCCCUCCAUAUAGCAGGAGGUGCUCAAAGCUGAGUGUCCCAAUCCUGAACUUGGCAAACAACCUAACCCUAACACCCCACUGACGGUGUCCCAGGUGUAGACCCCUGUCUGGCUAGGAGGGACAGUGUUUAGUUUGCCACUGAGUGAGGGUGGUGGUGUGGGGUGGGGCUGUAAGAGAGAAAUGCACCCCAGGAAGUGGGAAGCCAAGAGUGGGGAGAGUUCCAUGCCCAGGAGCCCAGGGCCCACUUGUGGCUGCUCACGCUCACCAUGUUUUGUCACCUGCCACUGGCUCCUAACCACUGAUCAAAAAUAGUCCUCUGCUUGCCCUUACAUGUGACCGGCCUGUGGUCAGAGCACCCUACCCAGGCUGGGGUUGGGCUGCACGAGCAUCCUGGCCAGCCCUGCCCCAAAUGAGACAGGAAGUGCUCUGAAGUGCCUCUGUAGCUGAUGGGGGCCGGGGUGGGGGGACCCUGCCAGCAGCUAUCUGGGAGAGUUUGGCUUAUGUUUCAUAGUGUUUUCAAGGUCAGUUUCUUCCUCCUUGUUACCUGUGCCUCUUGUUUCUCUUAAAGGCCAUCUGGAAAGAGGAUAUGGCCCAGAAGCAUUUCUGUUCUCUCUCUGGACCUGAACAUGGUUCCCCAAGGGUGUAUUGUCUUGGCUGGCAUGGUGGGUGGAGAGGGUAUGGGGACAGGGUGGGCCCUAGCUUAGAAUCCAAGCCACAGGGGCUUUAAACCCAAGAGAAAAAAACGUGGAGAGCUACAACCAGGCAUUUUACCAAUGAGGAAGCAACUUCUAGGGAGGUGAAGUGACUCACCUAGUGACUUCAAAAUAAAAAAUUCCCAUUUCACAGAUGAGGAGACAAAAUCAUAGAGACAAAACGUGACCUGCCUAGGGUAACACCAUAGUGGCAGAACUCUGACUGGACCCAAAUCUCUGGGUUCCUCGCUUCCUUCCAUCCUGCUGGACAGCUCUGUGUGUGUGAUCUGUUGGUAAAUUAGUUAUGCUUAUCUCCAUUUACAAAUGAGGAAACUGAAUCUCAGAACAAUGGCGUACUUGGCAAAUAAUGACACCUUCAGCUCUGCUUGAGAUCAGACGCAGCAAGUCCAGUGGAGGCCCAGGUCCCAGCUCCUCUAGGAAACCUGUCCUGACGAUUCCAGGCCACAUGGAGUCCUUCCUUCUCCAAAGUCUUACUAUGCUUAUUUUAAGGAAUAGAAAAAUAAUGCUAAGAAAGAAGCAAGGAAACAUUCGUACAAUGCUCAUGGCACGCUGAGUAUUUGCCAGCACUCAUGGGCGCCUAGGGACCACCUUGAGCAGGACUCAGGAUGAUGCUCAUUUUACAGGAGUUUGGAUGCUUCAUCUCUGCUGAGACCCAGUGCCUGGCACUGAAGGUGCUCAGGAAAUACCUUCUGAAUGAUCGGAAGCCCCUGCCAUCUGCUAAACUGGAUCUAUGAUGACAGAAGCCGAGGAAUGUGAGGUUCAUCUAGAGAGUUCUUGUGAAUUUUCCAAGGGAGGCACCUGUUGAAUUCAGGCAUCGGCAUGUGACUUGAUUUGGUCAAUGAAAUGUGAGAGAAGUGACAUCCACUUUGAGGCAGGCACUUUCCGAGUUGCCCCGACGGCCACUCUCCAUACUGCUGCCAGAAGAACCUUGAAAUAUCGCUCUUUUUAAUUAAAAAGCAAAACUCUUCAAUUGUUUUUGUUGCAUUUAAAGUUCAAACUUCUUACCACGGAGUGAAAGGCCCCACACAAUUGGCCCUGUCUUCUUCUCCAACU
rnacentral:lncRNA from 1 species